GGGUAUUAUAUGUAUGUGCUUUUCCUAAGUUCAAAUAAGUGAUUUUGAUGAAAAUAAGCACUUUUUGGUUCAAAACUCGUUUUUAUGAAGAUCUGCAAAUACAGGUCUUUGCGUCGAAUAUUAGUCGACGCUAUGAGCGACGCAACUGGUUGUUUGACAGUUUGACUGUUGACCCUUUGACUGUUGACCAGACUGCGUUGACCGUUGACUGAAUGUUGACUUUUGAUGGUUUAUUCACCCGGAACCUAAUUUUCACAGUUUUUCGUGUAGAUUCCGAAUCCGAAGUUAGUUU
rnacentral:lncRNA from 1 species